UGCUUCAUUAAUUUUUUAUGUAACAUUGUAGGUUCAUAGACUUGGGAUUAUUUAAGUACAUGUAGCUAAAUCACUUGUAUUGUAAAUGCUUGCCAAAAAGUAACUACAUUUUUUGUUUGCAUAACUAUUGAUAGCAGAAAUGUAGUAUUGGUGAACUCUGACUAUUAUUAAUUUGGUUUUCUUUUUUAUCAGUUGAUUUGGUGUAUGUGGAAUUUAGCAGUAUUGUUGAUUAGAUAUUAUUGAUACAUUGAAAUCCAAGCUUCUAAUGUUUUUGUUUCCCCAUUCCGAAAAAAAAACCCCAUUAACAUGCAUUUAAAAUAUAAAUUUGAUAUAUUC
rnacentral:sRNA from 1 species